AUGAAGUCACUCUUUGUCCUCCAGGAUACUGUGAAAUAUUUUUUAUCCUCUAGAAAACAUGAAAAAAUCACACGUGGAAGAGAUUCAGGGGGCAUCAUAAUCUGGCACAAACAAGAAAUUGACAAAUACAUCCAAACAAUUAAAAAAGAAGAAUCACAUAUCUGGCUCAAAAUCAACAAGCACCUUACGCAAACCACUAAAGAUGUUUUCUUAUGCGCUCUCUAUAUUCCUCCCUCUGAAUCUCCAUACUAUAAUGAGGACAUCUUUGAAUCUCUCCACAGUCAAAUUAACGACUUCCAGGCCCAGGGAAGUGUGUUGAUGUGUGGAAAUCUAAAUGCCAGGACAGGGUCUCUUCCUGGCUACACCACAGAUAAUGGAAAUAACUAUAUUUUUGGACAAAGCUUGCCACAAAAUAUUGUUAACUUCCCAAGAAAUAACACUGAUGACCAAGUGAAUGAAAACGGGAAGCUUCUGAUGGAGCUCUGUCAAAGCCUUGGUCUGUACCUGGUCAAUGGUAGGGUUAGAGGAGACUCUCUUGGAAGGUACACCUACAGUUCAUUUCAUGGUUCCUCAGUGAAUUACAUGAUCACAGAUUUAGAUCCAUUCUCUUUCAGAGCAUUCACAGUCAAACCACUAACACCCCUAUCAGACCACAAUCUAGUUACUGUUUACCUAAAGAGGACAAAAAAUAUGAGCAUACAUUCACAGCCCAGUAAGCUGUACAACAUUAGAGAGAAUUACAGAUGGGCACAAAACAGCACAGAAAAAUAUGUGACAGCAGUUGGCGAUCCAAAAGUGUGUCUACUUAUAGACAAUUUUCUAGGCAGAAUGUAUCCUCAUAAUCAAGAUGGCGUCAAUCUGGCUGUGGAGAACAUAAAUUAUAUGUUUAAAUAUAUGGCUAAUUUAUCUAACCUCACAUUCUCUAAGAAAAUCCAUAAAACAACACAAGAAAAUGAAAAAUGGCUUGAUUUAGGCUGUAAAACCAUGAGGAAAAAAUUAAGACAAUUGUCAAAUCAAAAACACAGACAUCCAAACAAUGCAGAUUUACUCCAUUUUAAAGCCCUUAAAAACCAUGAAAUGAAGCCUGAAAAAAGUCCCCUGAUUCAGAUGAUCCUGAAGCUGCAGAAGCAAACUAACACAACUAACAACAGCCAGCAUCAGGACACUGAAAUAUCCAUCCACACAAUUUGGCCCAACCAAAUUAUAAAAGCACAAAAAGAAAAUUAUCUAACUUAUUGGACUGAAACAACGUAA
ensembl:lncRNA